rnacentral:rRNA from 1 species
GAAUUCACUAGUGAUUCAGGCCUAACACAUGCAAGUCGAGGGGUAGAACACUUCGGUGUUUGAGACCGGCGCACGGGUGCGUAACGCGUAUGCAAUCUACCUUGUACAGGGGAAUAGCCCAGAGAAAUUUGGAUUAAUGCCCCAUAGUAUAUAACCUUCGCAUGUUGGUUAUAUUAAAGUUCCAACGGUACAAGAUGAGCAUGCGUCCCAUUAGUUAGUUGGUAAGGUAACGGCUUACCAAGACGAUGAUGGGUAGGGGUCCUGAGAGGGAGAUCCCCCACACUGGUACUGAGACACGGACCAGACUCCUACGGGAGGCAGCAGUGAGGAAUAUUGGUCAAUGGUCGCAAGACUGAAACAGCCAUGCCGCGCGCAGGAAGACGGUCCUAUGGAUUGUAAAGUGCUUUAUACAGGAAGAAACCCUCCCACGUGUGGGAGC